GGAUCGAUGAUGACUCCCCAAUAAACAUUCCUUGGAAAAGCUGAACAAAAUGAGUGAGAACUCUCAACCGUCGUUCUCAUCGUGACUGAGGUCC